UACGUAGGGUGCGAGCGUUAAUCGGAAUUACUGGGCGUAAAGCGUGCGCAGGCGGUUCGUUAAGUCUGAUGUGAAAGCCCCGGGCUCAACCUGGGAACUGCAUUGGAAACUGGCGGGCUUGAGUAUGGCAGAGGGGGGUGGAAUUCCGCGUGUAGCAGUGAAAUGCGUAGAGAUGCGGAGGAACACCGAUGGCGAAGGCAGCCCCCUGGGCCAAUACUGACGCUCAGGCACGAAAGCGUGGGGAGCAAACAGG
rnacentral:rRNA from 1 species